CCUACGGGUGGCAGCAGUGGGGAAUAUUGCGCAAUGGGCGAAAGCCUGACGCAGCGACGCCGCGUGAGGGAUGAAGGUCUUCGGAUCGUAAACCUCUGUCAGCAGGGAAGAACAGUCACUGUGCUAAUCAGCAGUGAAUUGACGGUACCUGCAAAGGAAGCACCGGCUAACUCCGUGCCAGCAGCCGCGGUAAUACGGAGGGUGCGAGCGUUAAUCGGAAUUACUGGGCGUAAAGCGCGCGUAGGCGGUAUGUCAAGUCAAGGGUGAAAUCCCCGGGCUCAACGUGGGAACUGCCGUUGAAACUGGCAAACUGGAGUGUGUGAGAGGAAAGUGGAAUUCGUGGUGUAGGAGUGAAAGCCGUAGAUAUCUGGAGGAACAUCAGUGGCGAAGGCGACUAUCUGGCACAUAACUGACGCUGAGGAGCGAAAGCGUGGGUAGCAAACAGGAUUAGAUACCCUUGUAGUC
rnacentral:rRNA from 1 species